rnacentral:rRNA from 1 species
AGUGAACGCUGGCGGUAGGCCUAACACAUGCAAGUCGAACGGCAGCACAGUAAGAGCUUGCUCUUACGGGUGGCGAGUGGCGGACGGGUGAGGAAUACAUCGGAAUCUACUUUUUCGUGGGGGAUAACGUAGGGAAACUUACGCUAAUACCGCAUACGACCUACGGGUGAAAGCAGGGGAUCUUCGGACCUUGCGCGAUUGAAUGAGCCGAUGUCGGAUUAGCUAGUUGGCGGGGUAAAGGCCCACCAAGGCGACGAUCCGUAGCUGGUCUGAGAGGAUGAUCAGCCACACUGGAACUGAGACCAGGUCCAGACUCCUACGGGAGGCAGCAGUGGGGAAUAUUGGACAAUGGGCGCAAGCCUGAUCCAGCCAUACCGCGUGGGUGAAGAAGGCCUUCGGGUUGUAAAGCCCUUUUGUUGGGAAAGAAAAGCAGCAGGUUAAUACCCCGCUGUUCUGACGGUACCCAAAGAAUAAGCACCGGCUAACUUCGUG